rnacentral:piRNA from 1 species
UGUUAAGUGAUACAUAGGAUUCAUCUAGA